UUUUACUAUGCAUUAAAUCAAUAUAAUUUACUAACCCUGUUGUAUAUAAAAAAGAAAAAUAGAAAAGAUGCCAUAUAUUUGCUGGUUUAAGCCGGCUAUUCAAAUGAGGAUAUUGAUUUUUAACUCUCCCUAGCAUUUGACCCUUAACUACCUCUCAUGGACUCUCAUCCACUUUGAGCUAGGAACUCAAGCAAACUUCUCAAGCAAAUUGCUUGCCAACUCUGACUUGACCAGCGCUUAAGGUGACCAACGUUUCUGUAACCUGCACAGGUAUAUAUGGUUAAUAAGUUUCCCCUCAUUAAAUAAAGUUUAUUAUACUAGGACAUCCCAAGUUUGAUCAGAACACACUUCGAGCAAUGAAAAUUCAGUAGACAAAAAUGUUAUUGAAUCGAGUUAACUGGAACAGGAGUUUGCAAUCUUUUGAAUUGGAUUUUUGUUCUUAGAGUAGACGAGGUACUGCCACUCUGGCUACUACUUUGCGGCCUUCCAGUAAACCCCCCGCCAAGAAUUUUCCUGAACACUUUCCGACAAUGGGAUCGGAAAUUCCUGCUUUGAAAUGCGUACAAAAAUGGAUUGAGCCAGGAUGACGAAAAUCCAAGGAUUAUUCCUACUUGGUAAUAGUCUGAGUUCCACCUAAGAUGUUGUAUCUCACCAAACUGAAAUAGAAAAUACAUGACAUGGUUUGGAGUCCACAACACAAAAAAUGCCACCAUGACUACAAAAACAAUCUGUACUGUCUUUUCUUUGCUUUUCAUGAUCUUAAUCCCAUGCCUGGCAUCCCCAAAGGCACGUCGAAGGUCCCUGUCCAACUUCGUCAGAGAUUUUUUGAUUCGGUAAAAAUUGAAGAUAAAAAUGGUAGCAGGAAGUAUAAAAUGACAUGCAAAGACACCACCAUAAAUUACUGUGCUUACAGUAUCACUCGGCCAAUCGUAAGUGCAAUAAUCCACUGUGCCAUUAGCUCCAGCCCAACGAAUGCCGACAAUGGUUGGAAUUUGAAUAACAAAGGCGGCUAGGUAGGCUCCAGCGAUAUAAAGGUAUGUUUUUAUUGGAAUGCCUAGCCGUAUUGCCUGAAAUGGUUUACAAAUUGCUGUGUGCCUUUCAAAACUUAUAAUAACCAGUGUAUAUAUGGACACAUCACAUAACCAAAAUGGGAUGAGGUACCCAGUAAUGAGCUUGCAUAAUAUAUCGCCUUGAACUCCCGUAGGAUGGUCAAAAACACUGGUAGACAAAACAAAAAUUGGUAGGCAAGUCACGGCAAAAGUUAGAUCAACAAUAGCCAAGGCCAUCAAGUAAAUAUUGAACGGAACUUCGCGGAAACGAUGCCUCGCCGAGCCACUUUUAAGGACCACUAUUAUCACAGUCAGGUUUCCGAACAGCCCAGUUACGAAUAUAAAACAAUAGCAUAUUAUUUCCCAUGUCCAAAACUCAAUGCCUCCCAUGAUACGAGACGCAAAAUCUCUUUAUGAACUUGUAAAGCACAAAGACUU